GAUGAAGAACGCAGCAAAAUGCGAUACGUAGUGUGAAUUGCAGAAUUCCGUGAACCAUCGAAUCUUUGAACGCAUAUUGCGCUCGAGGCCUCGGCCGAGAGCAUGUCCGCCUCAGCGUCGGGUUAAUCCUCGCUCCCACUCCCCUCUACGGGUUGUGCGUGGGCGGAGCUGGCAGUCCCAGUGCGCGCAAGUGCUCUGGGUCUGCUGAAGCCGAGAGGUUGAAUCAUGGACCCGUCAAACGGGCCGCAGUUGGUUAGGCAGCCUCGUGCUCGCUCUCAUCUAGCUGUUGGCCUGGGUCAGUGCGUUCGGCCCCCAAACAGGAACCCUUCAACGUCAUUACCUCGACCUGAGCUCAGGCAAGAACACCCGCUGAACUUAAGCAUAUCAAUAAGCGGGGA
rnacentral:misc_RNA from 1 species